rnacentral:lncRNA from 1 species
UUUUUUCUUUUUAAUUUUUGUGGGGGCUUAUCAUAUUCUCAUUUGGUUUUUUUUUUUGUUAUAUUUUUAUAAUGUUGUCAAUCAUUUAUUUUUUAAGUUGGUUAUUGUAUUUGUUUCUAGUUCGAUUGAUUUAUUUACUGUUGUUCCCUAUUUUAUAUAUUAUAUUGCUAGAUUAACUGCAUUUAUUGAACAAAUUCGAG